rnacentral:rRNA from 1 species
UAGGGAAUCUUCCACAAUGGACGCAAGUCUGAUGGAGCAACGCCGCGUGAGUGAAGAAGGUCUUCGGAUCGUAAAACUCUGUUGUUAGAGAAGAACACGAGUGAGAGUAACUGUUCAUUCGAUGACGGUAUCUAACCAGCAAGUCACGGCUAACUACGUGCCAU